rnacentral:rRNA from 1 species
GAAUUCGCCCUUAGAGUUUGAUCCUGGCUCAGGACGAACGCUGGCGGCGCGCCUAACACAUGCAAGUCGAACGGGGUGCGUACAAAUGACUUUUUCGGAUGGAAUUUGGAUGUACCUAUUGCCCAACGGGAGACUGACACGUGAAUGGCCAGCCCUGGAGGGGGGGACUGCUGAUAGCAAACGACUGCUAAUACCGCAUAAGCCCACAGAUCGGCAUGGCUCAGGGGGAAAAGGAGCAAUUCGCUUCAGGAUGGACUCGCGUCCAAUUAGCUAGAUGGUGAGGUAACGGCCCACCAUGGCAACGAUUGGUAGCCGGACUGAGAGGUUGAUCGGCCACAUUGGGACUGAGACACGGCCCAGACUCCUACGGGAGGCAGCAGUGGGGAAUAUUGCACAAUGGGGGAAACCCUGAUGCAGCGACGCCGCGUGGAGGAAGAAGGUCUUCGGAUUGUAAACUCCUGUCGUUGGGGACGAUAAUGACGGUACUCAACAAGAAAGCCACGGCUAACUACGUGCCAGCAGCCGCGGUAAAACGUAGGUGGCAAGCGUUGUCCGGAAUUACUGGGUGUAAAGGGAGCGCAGGCGGAAGGACAAGUUGGAAGUGAAACCCACGGGCUCAACUCGUGAACUGCUUUCAAAACUGUUUUUCUUGAGUGGUGUAGAGGUAGGCGGAAUUCCCGGUGUAGCGGUGGAAUGCGUAGAUAUCGGGAGGAACACCAGUGGCGAAGGCGGCCUACUGGGCACUAACUGACGCUGAGGCUCGAAAGCAUGGGUAGCAAACAGGAUUAGAUACCCUGGUAGUCCACGCCGUAAACGAUGAUUUCUAGGUGUGGGAGGAAUGACCCCUUCCGGUCCGCAGUUAACACAAUAAGUAAUUCACCUGGGGAGUUCGGCCGCAAGGUUGAAACUUAAAGGAAUUGACGGGGGCCCGCACAAGCAGUGGAGUAUGUGGUUUAAUUUGAAGCAACGCGAAGAACCUUUCCAGGUUUUGACAUUGGAUGCAUAGAUAAGAGAUUAGGGAAGUCCUUCGGGACAUCCAGACAGGUGGUGCAUGGUUGUCGUCAGCUCGUGUCGUGAGAUGUUGGGUUAAGUCCCGCAACGAGCGCAACCCUUACUGUUAGUUACUACGCAAGAGGACUCUAGCAGGACUGCCGUUGACAAAACGGAGGAAGGUGGGGAUGACGUCAAAUCAUCAUGCCCUUUAUGACCUGGGCUACACACGUACUACAAUGGCGUUAAACAAAGAGAAGCGAAGCCGCGAGGUGGAGCAAACCUCAAAAACAACGUCCCAGUUCAGACUGCAGGCUGCAACUCGCCUGCACGAAGUCGGAAUUGCUAGUAAUCGCGGAUCAGCAUGCCGCGGUGAAUACGUUCCCGGGCCUUGCACUCACCGCCCGUCA